CCACCCCCAGGGCCCACAGCCAGUGAUCACACCUCAUUGACCACACUGCACUGACCAUGCAAACUGAUCACAAACCACUGACCAACCAACUGACCAAACCCACUGACCACCUCAAAUAACUACACGCAGUGACGACUUACAACUGACCAUCUCCACGGACCACUGUGGUAAUUGAAUCAACUGAAAUUGGACACAUAAACGUCAGACCCUGGCAAACUGGGCACUGUGAAAAUGUUA